rnacentral:rRNA from 1 species
GACGAACGCUGGCGGCGUGCUUAACACAUGCAAGUCGAGCGGAGCGGCGAACGGGUGAGUAACGCGUGAGUAACUGCCCCCCUCUCUGGGAUAACAGUUGGAAACGGCUGCUAUUACCGGAUAGUGGGGGAUGACUCGGGUCCUAUCAGCUUUUUGGUGUUGUAGUGGCCUACCAAUGCGACGACGGGUAGCCGGUCUGAGAGGGCGACCGGCCACAUGGGGCUGAGAUACGGGCCAAACUGCCACGGGAGGCAGCAGUGGGGAGUAUUGCACAAUGGUGGAAGCCGUGAUGCAGCAACGCGUGUGCGGGAUGACUUCCUUCGGGUUGUAAACCGCUUUCAGCCAUGACGCGGUAGUGGCAGAAGAAGCACCGGCUAACUACAUGCCAGCAGCCGCGGUAAUAC